GGGCUGGUAGCUCAGUUGGUUAGAGCGCGCGCUUGAUAAGCGUGAGGUCGCAGGUUCAAAUCCUGCUCGGCCCACCA
rnacentral:tRNA from 1 species